GCCCAUACAGACCGCUAGGUCGUCGGCCACUUUUGGCCGCCCCAGCGGAGCGCCAGUCCGAAGGACGUACGGCGCGUGAGCGAUCGGUAGAACCAAAAUAAUUUCUAGAUAUCAAAAUAAGGUAUCUAACUUUCGAAUACAUAGGGGUUAGAAGCGAACCCGGGGAACUGAAACAUCUAAGUACCCGGAGGAAAGGACAUCAAACGAGACUCCGUAAGUAGUGGCGAGCGAACGCGGACCAGGCCAGUGGCUUUUAUGAGACAAGUGGAACACCUUGGAAAGGGUGACCGAAGUGGGUGAUAGUCCCGUACACGUAAUGCGAAUAAAAGUCCUUGAGUAGGGCGGGACACGUGAAAUCCUGUCUGAACAUGGGGAGACCACUCUCCAAGCCUAAGUACUCGUGCAUGACCGAUAGCGAACCAGUACCGUGAGGGAAAGGUGAAAAGCACCCCGACAAGGGGAGUGAAAGAGAUCCUGAAACCGAAUGCCUACAAACAGUUGGAGCCCAAGAUUUGUUCUGGGUGACAGCGUACCUUUUGUAUAAUGGGUCAGCGACUUAGUCUGACGAGCAAGCUUAAACCGGUAGGUGUAGGCGCAGCGAAAGCGAGUCUGAACAGGGCGUUCAGUUCGUCGGAUUAGACCCGAAACCAAGUGAUCUAGCCAUGAGCAGGUUGAAGGUAAGGUAACACUUACUGG
rnacentral:rRNA from 1 species